CGAAAAAUCGCUUUCUAUCUUCCUUUAAGGAAAAGCGGUCGAGCGCGUGGACCGUGUAGUCGGCUGCUUCUCGUGUUCGAAGAUCACGAAAAAAUCAAAAAUGGAAAAUCUCAAUGGAUCACGAUGAUUCGUUUCAGGACCCACUUUGGAACCGCCAUUGCCACGGCGAAAGAAAUGCCCGGAGCUUGCGUACAAAACGCACGAAUUCAUCACGGCAGCCGAUGGGGGUGGUAUCGAUGCCGUCGAUUCCAACGUUGUAGCUGAUAAAGUUCGAGAAGUUACAACGCAGUCGGGUUUACCACCGAGUCAAUUGAGCAAAGCGAUCUCACGGAUCAGCACCGAGUAUCGGUUGCAGUUUGCCUGGCCUAGAAGACCCCAACUGACGAAUGGCGAGACAGUGGCGCCAGGAGUGAUGGCUGCCGGACUCCCUGCAGGUAC
rnacentral:lncRNA from 1 species